GGUUCCCAGGCUAGGGAUCUAAUCAGAGCUACAGCUGCUGGCCUACACCACACCACAGCCACAGCAACGCCAGAUCCGAGCCUUGUCUGCACCUAUACCACAGUUCAUGGCAACACCAGAUCCUCAACCCACUGAUCGAGCCUAGGGAUCAAACCCGCAACCUUACGGUUCCCAGUCAGAUUCAUUUCUGGUGCUCCACAAUGGGAACUCCUUUUUUGUUUUUGUUUUUUGUUUGUUUUUGAUUCUUUAUAACUUAGUGUUGUUGUUUUUCUAAUGGUUAUUGGCAAAUUUAAAUUAUUAGUGUUAGAAGUUAGUAUCUUUGCUCUUCCCAUUCUUCUUUGGGAUUUAUAGCAAGAUGUACAUUAGGCCUCAUUUUUCCAUUUCCCUUUAUCCUCUCAUUUUUUUCCAUCUCUCUCCCUAUGAUCUGCAUUCUCAAAAAUAGCUUCAGCUCUGUCUUCUGCAUUUACUGAUUUUCUUCUCAGUCAUGCCUAAUCUAUCUAAUCCAUCCACUGAAGUUUUAAUUUUAAUUGUUGUAUUUUUAUUUCAAGUUCGGGUUUUGAUUUCAGAAUCUGCUUGGUUCUUCUUUGAUGUCAUUUACUUUCUUCUGAUCUUUUUAAUUUUAUGUUUAUUUCCCUAAAUACAAUAAACAUGGUUAUUUUAGGGUUCAUCUGAUGAUUCCAAUAUCUGAAACUUUUAAGAGUUUCUUUGUUGUUCCUACCAGUUCUUGUUUCCAUGUGUUCUGUGAUCCUUGACUUGGAGUUGCCCAUUUUUACUUGCCCAUUUAUCUUUAUCUGUGGGGAGAUUCUGCAGCCUGGAUAGAAGCUGAACUCCCCCAGAGAAGAUUAGAGUUUGCCCCUCUGGGUAGAGUAGGGCAGUAAUGACAGAGACUCUAAAUUCCUCACUUCAUAUUUUUCAAAUCAUACAGGUGUCAUGAAAUUAGGCCUCAAAGCUGCAGGUCCUAGUUCUGAAUUCAUAAGAAAGAGCUUUUUAAAACCCCUUCUACACAGUGCCAGGACCAAGAUAAGCAAUCUUCUUUGCCAUUUCCUUCAGCUUGGCAGGGUUAUUUCUUCUGUUUUUAUGACAUACACCCAGCUGUAUCAGGGGUCUACUCUAAUUAGGUUGAAUCAUGGGUAAUGCCUAUGUAAUUCAGUGAUGUCAUGCAAUUGUUUGCCUUUUAAAAAUGGCAGCUUUCUAGUAGAUUCCUUGCCUUGAAUAGGUUCUGGGCUUUAUCCCCUUCCCCAGAACCCCCAGAGAAUCAUUAAAACUGAAGUGGAAAGUCUCCAGGGUUUUGUAGAAGCCUUUAAGGCAAAGCCAUCUUGGUGCCCACCUGCCUCCCCAAGUUCCAAGUUCCUGUUUCACUUUGUUAUAGGAAUCAGUCUGCUAAUCUCUUUCCUGCCAGCCCAAUUUUUUUUACAUAGUUUUUACAUUUCAUUUAGCAUUUUGGUUAUCUUUCUCCCUCCGAUGGUCUAAGACUUAACUCAUUUCUGUUCCAGUAGGUGAUCUAAUUAAGUUAAAUCCUUCACACUUUCGUAAAUUUAAACAUACCACUACUUAAGCCUGGAGACUUUAGAACUCAGGUGCCUGUCAGAUUGCUUCCCCCCCCCCUCAGAUUUUUCUUUAAUAGUUCCAUCCUUUGAUCCUAGAUGCCACUUAAAAUGAGAAGUAUUUUUUACUUUAAAAUGUUUGAAGUUACCACCUGCAGAUCCUUUUAAGAUCGGAGUUUGAUGUAGAAAAUAGUUCCCUGGGUGGGUGCAGUACUACUAUUUUUUUUUUCUUUUUUGUCUUUUUUAGGGCCGCACCUGCAGCAUAUGGAGGGUCCCAGGCUAGGGGUCUAAUCAAAGCCAUAGCCGCCAGCUCACGGCAAUGCUGGAUCCUUAACCCACUGAGCAAGGCCAGGAAUUGAACCGGCAGCCUCAUGGCUCCUGGUUGGAUUCAUUUCUGCUGCGCCACAACGGGAACUCCAGUACUACUAUUUUAAAGACCCAUAUUGAUUGCACUUUUCCUUCUAUGAGAAUUUAUUAUACACUUGGAUUCCACAUUAGGAAGUAAAGUGGCUGUAGUGGAAAGACUAUCAGGAUUUAGAGAGGCCAAAGAAACUGAGCAGCCAUACCAGGUAACAGAGGUUCCUCACUCCAUGAUUGCACAGUUCAGCCUCUGAAGUACUUGAUCCAAGUCUUUGGGCUCCCUGAAAUUCUAUGCAGGACAUUACCUGUGAGUGCAUACAUGAAUCCUUCUAAGGAAAAAAUUUAUAAAUUCAUCAAAUGCAUAAUUUAGAGGGAGUAACUUGUGGUUUGAACAAGCGAGUGGACCUGGGUCCUUUCUCAAACUUCAUUUGGUUUGAGAGUAGCCAUUCUCAUAAUGACUGCUUUAAUUCUAGGGAGGGUUUCUAAAAUACAAAGAGAAAUAAAUUCUCAGGCCUAGAAUUUAAAUCUCUUUGUUUUGUUUUUAUAUUUCAUGUUUUUAAAAUGGUAUUUAUGCACUCUUGUUAGUAAUUAUCUCACUCAUGAUUUCUUUGCCAAGAGUAACAGAUCCCACUGGUAAUAGCUUAAGUAUUUAUGUUGAGCACGUCUGUGUUCAUUUUGAUGAAAAAGCAGUAGGAUUGUGCGUCUUCCAGCCAUAAGGGAAGUUUCUGAGGUUGUUAAUAGUUUCUCAACAAUACAGAUGGAUGAGAUUCAAUUUAAGCUUUCUAUUCCUUUAGGAGUCAUUUGUUUCAAAGAAGUAGAAAAACACUCAAAAUUACAAGGUUUUCUGCAAACUGCUGCUCAGGAUAGUUUUUAUGUAGACAGAGGUGUUCACCUCUGUGGGCCUUACUGGGCAGUAGUGAGAGCAUGGACUCUGCAGCCCAAGGCCUAGGCAGGAAUCCUCACUGCCGCUGCUGAUUGUGUGACCUUGGGCAAGUCAUCUAACCUCUCUGCCUCAUUGUUUCUCUUGGUUAAGACAGGGUUGAUAGCAUUACAUCAGUGGUUGCUCUAGAGAUUUAAAACAUUAAUACAUGAAAAGAACUGAGACCCAGGCCCAUAAAAGCUGUGUGGUAAAUAUGAGACACUAUUAUUAUUCUUUGGCCAUUUCCUGCCACCAAACCAGGUAGCAUUAAAUGAAAGGUAUAUAAACAGUUAAAGUAAAAUGAAACAAAAAAUUCUUAUACCUACCCUCUUACCAUCACAUAGUUGAUAACCAAAAAUGGAAUUUGCAAAAUGCACUGUUGUGAAAUUCUGUUCUACCAAGAUCAACAAGGUUUCUACAAGUCACACCAAGGCAACAGGAAACUGAAGGAAAAGUAGUUUCACACACAGCCUCAACAAAUCAAUUACAAACUAAUUCUCUUUUUUUGAAGUAUGUUUUAACGUUUUAAAUGAAUUCAUUCUUUGAAUAAAUGUUAAGUCAUUUUCCAGGAAGUUCCCACUGUGGCCCAGCAAGCGAAGGACCUGGCGUUGUCUCUGGUGUUUUUGGGACAACAAAUCCAAUCCUGCGUAUUUGUAAGUUGAUGCUUUUUUCCUCACAUACUAAUUUUUAAUACAUUUCUACAUGUUGAUUUAUGUAAGUAUAUUAACUUAUACUUGAUAAUAAAUCU
ensembl:lncRNA